rnacentral:misc_RNA from 1 species
GAUGAAGAACGCAGCGAAAUGCGAUAAGUAAUGUGAAUUGCAGAAUUCAGUGAAUCAUCGAAUCUUUGAACGCACAUUGCGCCCGCUAGUAUUCUGGCGGGCAUGCCUGUCCGAGCGUCAUUUCAACCCUCAAGCCCCCGGGCUUGGUGUUGGGGAUCGGCGAGCCUCCGCGCCCGCCGUCCCCUAAAUCUAGUGGCGGUCUCGCUGUAGCUUCCUCUGCGUAGUAGCACACCUCGCACUGGGAAACAGCGCGGCCACGCCGUUAAACCCCCAACUUCUGAACGUUUGACCUCGGAUCAGGUAGGAAUACCCGCUGAACUUAAGCAUAUCAAUACGGAGGA